AUUGUUAAUAAAUGUUGUGGUAUAUAUAUAUAUAAUUUCUAUAUAUUCUUGAUAUCAAUCAUUAAACAGCAUACACCAGAAUAUCUCCUGGUGAGUGGCUUGUAUUUGCUGUUUUGUCUAUGCCACACGUCACGUGGGAUCCUAGUUAUCCAAGCAGGGAUUGAAACACGUCCCCUUCGUUGGAGGCGUGGAGUCUUAACCUCUGGACCACCAGGGAAGUCCCUCGUGUCCUCUUUCUUGAGGGGGUUUCCUGGAAAUAAUUACUGCUUUCCUCCCCACUCCUUCCCCAGAAUGCUCUCUUGUUUGGAUCCAGUCCACCACCAGAUCCUGUCCAUUCUUCAUUGGACUCUCCAGUCCCACAGCCAGUCGAUGCAAGUUUGCAUUUAUCAUCUUCCCCAGCUGAUCACCGUCUUUGGUUAAUUUGCUAACUAUGGGGGAUCAACUCUGAAUAUUCAUUGGAAGGACUGAUGCUGAAGCUGAAGCUCCAAUCCUUUGGCCACCUAAUGUGAAGAGCUGACUCAUUGGAAAAGACCCAGAUGCUGGGAAAGAUAGAAGGCAGGAGGAGAAGGGGACGACAGAGGAUGAGAUGGUUGGAUGGCAUCACUGACUCAAUGGGCAUGAGUUUGAGCAGGCUCUGGGAGAUGGUGACGGACAGGGAAGCCUGACAUGCUGUAGUCCAUGAACUCGAAGAGUUGGACACGAAUGAAAGACUGAACAACAAAUUCUUGUAUAUAGUGCAAGAAAUAGAUCUGAAUUUAUUUUUUCAAUGACUAUCCAGUUAGCCUAACACCAGUCAGCCCCAGUGAUUCUGAGAUAUCUCCUUUAUCAUAACCUAGAUUUCUUCAAAUAUUCGGGCCUAUUUCUUGACUUCUCCUUUUGUUCCAUUGGUGUGCCUUUUUAAGUGUUGCUACCCGUGGUUUUGAUGCUAGAGGCUUUGUUGUGUCUAUUUAUAUCCUGUAGGACCACUCCUCUUUCACAGAAGAUUGUUUUUAAAAGACAGGAGUUAUUAUAGAACAUUGGUAGGCAGAGGAAAGUGACCAAGUAGAGAUAUGAGUCGAGAGAGAGAGGGGGGAAAAUUGUGAUGUCCUUGAAUAAGCACAAGCAGAGAAUUCUGAAAGGAGCCAGAGAAUACAGAUUCAGAAGGUGGUAGAUUUGCUAGGGAGAAGAAUUCUCUUCUGACUUUUUAUUCCCCAGUGAAAUAGAACCAAAGUCAACAGCUGAGUGCAGGGGAAGCGGGGGAGAAGGCGAAUCACUCAGACUAUGCUGAAGGCCUACGUGAGGUCUGUGGUCAUAAAUGGAAAGCAAGACCCACGUGCAGAGUUAUGUUUUCCUCUAGCCUCACACGAUGGCUUGAGCAUGAGGGCUGAGCAGGCACACCAUUGAGUUUAAACUGAGUUGGGAUUUAGCCAAACAAGCAUGGCCAAUGGAAAGAGGGAUUAAGUAGUAAAGGCAAUAUGGAUGCAAGUAAGCAGAAUGAUGGGCCAGAAAUCCAAGUUGGGUGAGGAAGGAAAUGAAGAGAGUGGGCAAGGCGGGUGGAUGUGAAGGCUAUCGUGACGACGGGUUAAUCCUGAAAGCAUUUAAGAGAUGUUGGAGUCUUUGGAAGGGGAAGUGAUGAUCUUGGGGUGGGUGGAUAGGAUGGGAUAGAAGAAAAGAUGUCAACAAAGAUGUAAAAAGACUGAGGGGCCAGAAUGUGGUCAGAUUGUCUCUGUGGUUGGGAUGGUAGUGAAGGAGGAAACAGACAGAACAGGCUCCAUCUUGAAAGCAGGACUCCAUCCUGGGCUGGACUGUGGACUUUGAGCUCUAUGCCCAGUAUCUAUGGAAAUGACAUACCAACUGGAAAACCAGGUCCCGGGAAGGAAGAGCCCCAGGGCUUGAACCUAGACUCUCCGUAGCCUAAAAGAAUACCCUAAUUAUCUGUGUAGCCGAAUAGAAUCAUACAUUGUAUUAUGCUUAUUGGGGUAUGACCACAGGCCCAUUGAUAAUUGUCCACUGUUAACUACCUAGGCUUAAGGCAUAUGAAUCACAGGUUAACUUUGAUUGUAUCUUUCUUUUCCUUUGUUCAGGCUAGUUUCAGGGAAUUUGGGGAGAUGGGUUUGGGCACUGUACACUUAGGGUAUAUAAGGUUUUUACAAAAACCGGUUGGGGUCCUUGGCUAAGAGGAGACUCUGACUUGGGCCUGCCGGUGUAAUAAACUGCACUCCACUAUCUGCA
rnacentral:lncRNA from 1 species